GAAAUGCGAUAAGUAGUGUGAAUUGCAGACCGUGAAUCAUCGAAUCUUUGAACGCACAUUGCACUGUCUGGAAUUCCGGACAGUAUAUCUGUUUGAGUAUCAUUUCCCAAUCCUUAAUAAUAUCGCUUGAUUCCUUCAAGAUUGAUAUUUACAAGGGAGUUGAAGCAUAACAUCUCGAUGUUAGCUUUGAAAUAAUAAAAGUCGCACAAGUUUCUACCGACUACCGGCAGUGAAGUCCGAAAGGAAUCUCUGUCGUUUUGUGGUCAAGAAACAUAAAGUGUGUCUCACGUAUCAUGUGUUGUUUGCCUGCCUGUCAAAGGGUAUGUGACGGACACAGGUUUAAAGAGAGGCUCUAUCUCUCUUUGAUAUCGUGAUCUCAAAUCAGAUAAGACUACCCGCUGAACUUAAGC
rnacentral:misc_RNA from 1 species